ACGGGUGAGUAAAGCCUAGGAAUCUGCCUGGUAGUGGGGGAUAACGUUCGGAAACGGACGCUAAUACCGCAUACGUCCUACGGGAGAAAGCAGGGGACCUUCGGGCCUUGCGCUAUCAGAUGAGCCUAGGUCGGAUUAGCUAGUUGGUGAGGUAAUGGCUCACCAAGGCGACGAUCCGUAACUGGUCUGAGAGGAUGAUCAGUCACACUGGAACUGAGACACGGUCCAGACUCCUACGGGAGGCAGCAGUGGGGAAUAUUGGACAAUGGGCGAAAGCCUGAUCCAGCCAAGCCGCGUGUGUGAAGAAGGUCUUCGGAUUGUAAAGCACUUUAAGUUGGGAGGAAGGGCAGUUACCUAAUACGUGAUUGUUUUGACGUUACCGACAGAAUAAGCACCGGCUAACUCUGUGCCAGCAGCCGCGGUAAUACAGAGGGUGCAAGCGUUAAUCGGAAUUACUGGGCGUAAAGCGCGCGUAGGUGGUUUGUUAAGUUGGAUGUGAAAUCCCCGGGCUCAACCUGGGAACUGCAUUCAAAACUGACUGACUAGAGUGUGGUAGAGGGUGGUGGAAUUUCCUGUGUAGCGGUG
rnacentral:rRNA from 1 species